AAUAGGACAUAGUGUUUGUAUGAAGAAGACAAUAUUGCAAAAUAACCAGGAUGCUGUGGCAGUCAACAAUUAUCAGGAACAUACGUUGUUACACACAAGCACAUUUAUAUCAUCUAAAUAAAAUUUGUGUUCCUGCAUUGCCUUCAAGUCAUACUGAGUCAGUGUAUCAACCCUAUCAGUUCCAUCAUCAGUCAGACAAUGUCGUGAACCAAAGUCACAAUGAAAAAGGAAUUAAAUUAUGCACACAGGUACCAGACUGUGGAAUUAAUGAACGUGAUCAGGAUGGAAGUUUUUGGCUGAGAAAAUGUGACAUCCGCAACUGCUGUCAGUCAGUAAGAAAUACGAAAUAAUACUCAUAUGCACCAUGUUUCCGGUUGCAUUUGUAAGCUUAGUCUUUUUAUUUUCGUAAUAAUGGUACCAUAUUUGAAAUGAUGAUUUUUAUUCUUUUCUAUGUGGUGUAGUAUGUUUUGAAGACAGAAAUAUUCUGUAUUUGCAAAACAGUCUCAUCUAUAAAAGAAAAGAAAAAUCGGCGGAAAUCUGAACUUAAUUCAAAAUAGGAACUUUUCAGAAAACAGCAAGGAUUGACGUUAUAAUAAGAAGUUCUCUAGUAAAACAUGUAUGCUCGUAAAAUUAGCUGUUAGAAAUAGGUAUACUUCGAUAAAAUGUAACAUUCAUAGGAUUAUCGGGAAAUGUUUGCAAAUUGAUGUACAGAAAUAACUUAAGAUUGUGUAUGUAUAGAUUUUCAGAAUUUGUAACCAAUAUUCAGCAAAAUAUUUACAUCGUUAAAAUAUCAUUACAUGUAUAACAAGCUUUCAAUGUUUUUGUUAAGGUGGUACCAAACACCUUGAUUAAAAUUGAUUUGGCUCCUUUAAUUUUCAUAAAAUUUUGACAAAAUAUUAACAUUGAGCCUUUGAUAAAAAUUUCAAAAAACUUGAACCACACACUUUAUCGGAAAAAUUUCAUUGGAUAUUUAUAUAGUAGUUUGACAAACACUUAUUUUGAUCAUUGAGAAGCUUCAUAAUUCCUUAACAAUAGACAUGAAUAAAAUGUUCAGCUGAUUUUUACAGAGUUAUCUCCCUGUAGUGUUAUGUACCACCUUAAAUAGUUUUAUUGUACAUUUCACAUUAUACUAGUUAACAGACAAUUUUAAAAUACUCCUAUAAUCAUUGUUUAAUACCAAAUUUCAUCACUAUGGCUAUGUAUGUGGACAAACAAUUGACUGUAUGUCUUAUUCGCGAUAACAGUGUUUUUAGAACCACUAGUUAUCCAAAUGUAUUUCAUGUAAUUUAUAUGGAUGUGCAUGCGUU